GAUGAACGCUGGCGGCGUGCCUAAUACAUGCAAGUCGAGCGAACAGACGAGGAGCUUGCUUCUCUGACGUUAGCGGCGGACGGGUGAGUAACACGUGGAUAACCUACCUAUAAGACUGGGAUAACUUCGGGAAACCGGAGCUAAUACCGGAUAAUAUAUUGAACCGCAUGGUGCAAUAGUUAAAGGCGGUUUUGCAGUCACUUAUAGAUGGAUCCGCGCCGCAUUAGCUAGUUGGUAAGGUAACGGCUUACCAAGGCAACGAUGCGUAGCCGACCUGAGAGGGUGAUCAGCCACACUGGAACUGAGACACGGUCCAGACUCCUACGGGAGGCAGCAGUAGGGAAUCUUGCGCAAUGGGCGAAAGCCUGACGGAGCAACGCCGCGUGUGUGAUGAAGGUCUUCGGAUCGUAAAACUCUGUUAUUAGGGAAGAACAGAUGUGUAAGAAUCUAUGCACGUCUUGACGGUACCUAAUCAGAAAGCCACGGCUAACUACGUG
rnacentral:rRNA from 1 species